GAUGAACGCUGGCGGCGUGCCUAAUACAUGCAAGUCGAGCGAACAGACGAGGAGCUUGCUCCUCUGAUGUUAGCGGCGGACGGGUGAGUAACACGUGGAUAACCUACCUAUAAGACUGGGAUAACUUCGGGAAACCGGAGCUAAUACCGGAUAACAUGUUAAACCGCAUGGUUCAACAGUGAAAGACGGUCUUGCUGUCACUUAUAGAUGGAUCCGCGCCGCAUUAGCUAGUUGGUAAGGUAACGGCUUACCAAGGCAACGAUGCGUAGCCGACCUGAGAGGGUGAUCGGCCACACUGGAACUGAGACACGGUCCAGACUCCUACGGGAGGCAGCAGUAGGGAAUCUUCCGCAAUGGGCGAAAGCCUGACGGAGCAACGCCGCGUGAGUGAAGAAGGUCUUCGGAUCGUAAAACUCUGUUAUUAGGGAAGAACAAAUGUGUAAGUAACUAUGCACGUCUUGACGGUACCUAAUCAGAAAGCCACGGCUAACUACGUGCCAGCAGCCGCGGUAAUACGUAGGUGGCAAGCGUUAUCCGGAAUUAUUGGGCGUAAAGCGCGCGUAGGCGGUUUUUUAAGUCUGAUGUGAAAGCCCACGGCUCAACCGUGGAGGGUCAUUGGAAACUGGAAAACUUGAGUGCAGAAGAGGAAAGUGGAAUUCCAUGUGUAGCGGUGAAAUGCGCAGAGAUAUGGAGGAACACCAGUGGCGAAGGCGACUUUCUGGUCUGUAACUGACGCUGAUGUGCGAAAGCGUGGGGAUCAAACAGG
rnacentral:rRNA from 1 species